rnacentral:tRNA from 1 species
GGAAGCGUCGCCUGAAUAUUUAAGGACUACUUUGAUAGAGUACACCAUAGGGGCUCAAUUCCCCUCACUUCCC